CUGGCACUGACACAGGCUUAUCAACUAAGAAUAGUUGACUUCCCCUUUUUCCCCAAUUUGUGAGGGAAGAAAAGCUUGGGAUGGCAAUCUGGGUUGCUAUGCAAAAGUAACCUAUACUACUGAACCGUAGUAAACAGUGAACACAAAUUACUGCCACGUUCAAUCUCCAACUCCUCACCUCCUUUCCCGCCACUCCCAUUCUUACAUGGAUGGUGAUAUAAAAAAUAUUAUAGAUUCGUUCCAGUAGCCACCAAUAAUUUUUGACCAGUUCAAAAAGGAGAAAGUGUAAGCAUAAUAUUCGUUUAUUCUGCUUUCGGUCAAUGCAUUAAUCAAUAACACACGAGGAGCAAAGGUUUCUUGCAUAGAAAUUACCAUUAAUCUAUUAUAAUGUCAAUUUACAAAGAGAAAUAAUUCGAGUGAAGCAAACUAAAUGUACCAAUCUCAUGUCCCCAUGCAUUGAUUGUGAUCAUUCAGCUAAUCCUAGACUGAAAUAGCAUUUCGCUGCGACACCAAAAAAGAGUCAUACAAUCCACCUGUUAUUGCACCAAAGGUGCAGUCAGCUCCGUGGCAAGGAUAUGGGUUUUUCCUAAAUCGAAGUAAUGAAAUCACAAAGUUGAAAGUAGGGUUCCUAUAUAAUACAAGUUCCUCUUCACUCUCCUAUGAAAAGAAGGUUCCAAAUGUGCCACUACUACAUACUUUGUUCAAUACAGAAGGCAAAGUCCAAUAACUGAAAUCUAUCAGCUGGCAGGUAUUGGUGCUUUGUCCGAUGGAACACGUGCUAUUUUCUUCAAUAAUUUUUGUUUUAUCAUUUCACAGAAAACAAAUAUAAGUUUAUUUGCCCCCACAACCUUCCGUCUCUAGCAUCCAGAUCUUUAUAGAUUCCUUUUUAUCUCACUGCCACAUAGAACAUCCAUUUGACUUCAUUUCAUGAACAACAUACAUACAUCUACUGCACAAUUUGCCAUCAAGAAUGUACUUUUUUUCUUUUUUAAAUAAAUUCCAUUAAUGCUG
rnacentral:lncRNA from 1 species